rnacentral:other from 1 species
AGGAUUCUGCGGCGUUGGUGACUGCCGUUAUGUUUUUGCGAUCUAUACCCUUCGACAAUUAGGAUGGGAAGUGGAUGUGAGAGCAGUAGGCCAAACUUGAUUUGGAAACUAUCGACAAUCAUCCCCGGUAUCCUAUACUGGAUUUUCCAGGUCGAAAACCACGGUAAAACGGCGCAACAGUAUCCUC